rnacentral:rRNA from 1 species
AUUGAACGCUGGCGGCAUGCUUUACACAUGCAAGUCGAACGGCAGCGCGGGCUUCGGCCUGGCGGCGAGUGGCGAACGGGUGAGUAAUGCAUCGGAACGUGCCCAGUAGUGGGGGAUAGCCCGGCGAAAGCCGGAUUAAUACCGCAUACGACCUGAGGGUGAAAGCGGGGGACCGAAAGGCCUCGCGCUAUUGGAGCGGCCGAUGUCGGAUUAGCUAGUUGGUGGGGUAAAGGCUUACCAAGGCGACGAUCCGUAGCUGGUCUGAGAGGACGACCAGCCAAACUGGGACUGAGACACGGCCCAGAUCCCUACGGGAGGCAGCAGUGGGGAAUUUUGGAAAAUGGGGGCAACCCUGAUCCAGCCAGGCCGCGUGCGGGAAGAAGGCCUUCGGGUUGUAAACCGCUUUUGUUCGGGAAGAAACCCUCUGGGCUAAUACCCCGGGGGAUGACGGUACCGGAAGAAUAAGCACCGGCUAACUACGUG